GGAAGUAAAAAUCGUAACAAGGUAUCCGUAGGUGAACCUGCGGAAGGAUCAUUAUUGUAUAACCGAGGUGCGAGGGCUGUCGCUGACCCGAAAGGUCGUGCACGCCCGAGUGCCCUCACACACAUCCAUCUCACCCCUAUGUGCACCACCGCGUGGGUCCCCCUUUGGCUUGUUCGGAGGGGGGCUUACGUUUUCACACAAACUUUGUAUGCAGUGUAGAAUGUAUUUUUUGUUUUUGCGAUCACGCAAUCAAUACAACUUUCAACAACGGAUCUCUUGGCUCUC
rnacentral:misc_RNA from 1 species